UAAAGCUAUAACGUGACCGUGACCCACA
rnacentral:piRNA from 1 species